CUCUGUGUGCCUCCCACAACAGCAGCCUCAUAGGAGAGACCCUGCAACAGCCUGGUGUCCCUGUGAAAUCCAGAGAGGCAGCAGGGCACAGCAUGGCACAGCCCCAUCCACACCUAGAACUGGAGGCCAAGGUGCUCAUGAAGGGAUAGCAUAAACCUGAUUUCUCUGUUUGGAUGUGAUCCCUGAAAUAACAUCAAGUUUUCUCAGCUGUUCAUGCUAAAAAAAUGUGCAAGACAGGCCUGUAAAUGAUCAUGGACCCAGAGCUUUACUUGUGGAGCAGUGUAGAUGUAGCCAUAUGGCCUAGCAGAACAAGGGAAAGAGUUACUUCAUUAUUACGGAGUUACUAGCUGUUGCUGCACAUCUUGGCCUGUUUCCACAAAAAUAGGAUAAUAACUUUACCAGAUGCUGACAAGUCUUUUGCACAGUGGGAGCAAGUGUAUCUGAAAUAGUGGAACAACAUGAAGAAUGAUGCCAUCAAAACUGUUUCCUUAGGAAAACACUGAGACUCUUCCUUAGGGUUCAAAAUAAAAGAAUUCAGGAAGAGUGUUGGAAGAUGAGAGCAGGAUAUCUUUGGAAGAUUAAUUACUGAAUGUGGAAAAAGAGUCUUGAAGAGUAUCAGUGCUUCCCUCCUCUGAAAAGUAUUUCUCAUGACCAUCAAGAUUAAUCAUAAGCUACAGUUCCUCUGUGUGCUGUCAGCUGAAGUCUUGGAGCUUUAAUUGUAGGCUACAGUAUUAGAAAAUAGAUUACUUUGAUAAUUUGACAGAUUCAUAGUAAAAACAGAAUAAAAAGUAUAAUCAACAAAAUUUUGGAGAUAGCAUGAAACAGAACCCCCUUCUGUUUCACUGUAAAAGUUUUAUGGGAUUUUUCUUUUUUAUGUCCUUUUCAAUGUAUUAACCCAUUUUCCUUUCAAUUUUUUAAUCCAUGGUUUAUAUUGUGCAUAACAGAAUGUAUUUCUAAUUACUUUAACUGUCUCAGUGUAGUCAUAUACAGAGUCAUAAGUGCAUUAACGUCUUCAAACCUGUUUGAUAAAAACUAUUUGUUAAUUCAAAUUGUUAACAAUGUAGUCAUUAAAAUACACUACAUUGUUUCUUUUCUUCUAAUGAUCAAUAGUUAAAUAUAGCACAGUUACAACAUCAAACAUCUGAAUAAUAAACU